rnacentral:rRNA from 1 species
UACGUAGGGGGGCAAGCGUUGUCCGGAAUUAUUGGGCGUAAAGAGCGCGUAGGCGGUCCGAUAAGUCGGCUGUGAAAGUCAUGGGCUCAACCCAUGAAAGCCGGCCGAUACUGUCGGACUAGAGUCCGGAAGAGGCAAGUGGAAUUCCCGGUGUAGCGGUGAAAUGCGCAGAUAUCGGGGAGGAACACCAAUGGCGAAGGCAGCUUGCUGGGACGGUACUGACGCUGAGGCGCGAAAGCUAGGGGAGCAAACGGG